UUAACCGGGCUGACGUCCUGUGUGUGCUUGUUUAGGGGGUGAAAGAGAGAGAGAGUGUAACGCAGAUGACAACAGGCAUGUUAUCCACAACUUUAGUCGUAGUAAGAGUUAUCGUGGCUCAUUAGCACAUUCGCACGGCUAACUAGCACGUUAGCUAACAUUAGCAUGGCAACGUUCCGUUCCUGCCAUAGCUAGGUCCGAUUAGCUUCCUACGAGGGAAGUUUAGCCAUAUCUUUGUCUACGAAUAUAACAGAACAACAACAGUUGUUCCGACAGACUGAAGGGAUGUUUAUCUUGCUCCUCUACCAUCCUCUUCGCACCGGGACGAGGUGGCCGAGUGGUUAAGGCGAUGGACUGCUAAUCCAUUGUGCUCUGCACGCGUGGGUUCGAAUCCCAUCCUCGUCGAUAUCUUUUCACGUUAUCAAUAUUUAUCCUAUUAAAACAGUGUAGUACGGCUUCGUGUUUUACUAUAUUUUAUGUAUGAUCAUAUUUAAUUGAUAUUUUGUUGACAGUAAACGGCAGCGUUUCUCUUUGGUAGACCAGCUGUUUACACAUUCAAGAUCAGCUCUCCUGGGAACCAGCAGGGCAUCGUGAUCCUCCUGCAGCUCCGUAAUGACUCCCGUCCGGUCCAGGAGAGAGGUGGAUCGACUCUGCCUGUCCUCCCGUGAGGUCGUCUGUGGCUCGGCUGCUUGUUGUCUACGAGCGAGAAACAGGAAAUGAAGUGGAAUACAA